GAAAUUCCAAUCGAACCUGGAGAUAGCUGGUUCUCUCCGAAAUAGCUUUAGGGCUAGCCUCAAGUGAUGAUUAUUGGAGGUAGAGCACUGUUUGGACGAGGGGCCCCUCUCGGGUUACCGAAUUCAGACAAACUCCGAAUGCCAAUUAAUUUAACUUGGGAGUCAGAACAUGGGUGAUAAGGUCCGUGUUCGAAAGGGAAACAGCCCAGACCACCAGCUAAGGUCCCAAAAUAUAUGUUAAGUGGAAAAGGAUGUGGCGUUGCCCAGACAACUAGGAUGUUGGCUUAGAAGCAGCCAUCAUUUAAAGAGUGCGUAAUAGCUCACUAGUCGAGUGACACUGCGCCGAAAAUGUACCGGGGCUAAACAUAUUACCGAAGCUGUGGAUUGUCCUUUGGACAAUGGUAGGAGAGCGUUCUAAGGGCGUUGAAGCAUGAUCGUAAGGACAUGUGGAGCGCUUAGAAGUGAGAAUGCCGGUGUGAGUAGCGAAAGACGGGUGAGAAUCCCGUCC
rnacentral:rRNA from 1 species